UAACACCUUGAGACAAAAGAAAGAGGCUUGUAAGGACUCAAACAGUUUCAAAUAUAGAAUCAAAAUAACAAUAAGAACUUUAACUGGACUUUUAGUGAGGUCAAUGAUACCAUGAGACAAAGAUGAGAGAAGGAUUCACAGAGUUUAAAAUCUAGAAGAAACACAAUAUGAAGCUUUUCAGUGAGACCUUGAGACAGAGUUAAAAGGUUGGCUCGGAGGGACUCAACACAACCACCCGAAGAUCAUCCUUACAGUAGCGCAACACCAGGAGACGGCGGAACAUGAGCCAUGGUGGCGUCACCCUUAAGUACGUACGCUAUACACAGUUCUCCAAAAUAUUACGAUUACGAAGCUGUACACUCUCCACGUCACGCUCACUCGGCGGCGGACUUGCCCUAGAUUGGCGACUUAAUUUUUUUUUUGUUGCUUUGUCGGAGACGUGAAUGUCGUGUUUUUGUGGCCUACGCUUAUACAGACUACGAAUGAUUGCGAAACGUUUAUUGUUUGCGGGAUUAAAAAGUCUUCAUUCAUCGUCGAACCGAGAGCACACACAUACACAUGUACACACACAGGUAAGAAAACCGUUAAUAAAAUAAGUAAAAUAAAACUAGGAGUAAUAAAAAAGACUUAGAAACUAACGAUUAAGUAUGAAGGCUUAUAGGAAAGUCUCUCUCUCUCUCUCUCUCUCUCUCUCUCUCUCUCUCUCUCUCACCUAAAGCUGUUAUAGUUUGUGCACAGCUUCCAAUAAUUUUUGCCGUCAGUGCAUUCAAAAUUGUACGCUUAAAGACUCCUAAUAACCACAGACAUUAGUUUUGUGAAUCCAGAGAAAACUUUUUGUGCAAUUAUGAAUGCUAAAACAACAACAAAAAACAACAAUAACAAGAAUAAAACUACAAUAAACUAAAGAAAUAGCUAACCAAAAGGAACAAACUCAACAACGAAAAUAUCACAAACCUAAAGGACUCCAGAGAAAACUUUUUGUGGAAUUAUGAAUGCUAAAAAAACAAACAAAAAACAACAACAACAAAAAUAAGACUACAAUAAACUAAAGAAAUAGCCAACCAAAACCGAAAGGAACAAACGCAACAACAAAAAUAUCACAAACCUAAAGGAAUGACUAACGAAACACAGCAACCGGAGGAACAUAAAUGAAGCGCUAUAAAAACAACAACAAUCAACUACAGGAACACAUCAAAUACUAGAGGAAAAAUAAUGUAGAGAGUCUUAACUAAAGGAACAUUUGAAUUAUUACUAUGUCAUUUUGUGCGGAAUCAUAACUGUUUCGUGCGUAGAGAAAGCAUUUGGGGGCGUACACUAUAGCUGCACAUGGCCUCAGCGCUCGUCUCUGUAUCACUGACCCCUGAGCAACGUUGCCAAAUUGUCGUACACUGAACAUUGCAUUUAUAAUUUUUAGGCUCCAUGACUGUCGUAACCACAAAAUAACGCUAGGAAAUUAAAGUUAGCGUUAAAACUGUUAAAUAUUGAUGGGCUUCGUUCUCUUUUGCUAUAGUUACCGGGCGGAAACAACAAAAAAUGCAAUGCGCUGAGUACGACAAUUUGAACGCUGCCCUUGAGCCCGUGGUGGAAGAGAACACACUAAUAUAGAGAAGCUAAAUCAGAUACAAGACCCAGACCACAAGACCACAUCAGGAAGUGCCGAUUCAAAGACCAGACUUCCACAAUCUACCCGAACAUUACCCUGGGAGCAAGUGUCACAUCCAGGGUUACCAGUUUGCCUCCCCUAGGUUUCCCCAGGUACCCAUUAUCGACCUGCCCGAAAGGAGGUUGAAUAGCUGGGUAGAGUGAGCACCAGUCUCCUUGGGCCGGGAUUCGAACCUGGACCCACGCGAGCUAAUCAUGUGGCUAUUGAGGGUCGGAAAAUAGAAAGGGAUAUGUUGGGAAAUUAAGUAAUGCUAUGUUAAGUAAUGUCAAGUAAUGCUCUUAAGUAGUGCAGUGCUGUGUGAAGCUGUUAGGUAGUGCUGAGUGAUGGAUGUUAUGUGGCUGGGAAAGUAAUGUUUGUGUGUGUGUUUGUUAUGGGAAGGGAGUGGGGUGGAAAGAGGUGAUGUUUGUGUGUGUAUUUGUGGGUUUGUUUUAGGAGUGGAGUGGAGUAGAAGGAGAUGUUUGUGUGUUUGUCUGUUCGUUUGAGUGUUUGUUUUGGGAAGGGAGUGAGGUGGAAGGAGGUGAUGUUAGUGUGUGUGUUUGUCUGUCUGUUUGGUGGAGAUGUUUGAAUAUGUGUUUGUUGGAAGAAAUGAAUGGGGGUAGAAGGGUAUGUGUGUGUUUGUGUAUGUGUGUUUAGGGAAAGGAAAGUGAGUGGGAUUUUCUUGAAGUAUGUGUCUGUCGUGUGUUUGUUAAGAGGGGACAGACAUGGGUGAAGGUGUUUGCAUUUGGAAGUUCGUUUUGCUUCCAUCUAUGACUGACUGUUUCCUUGUCUGUUUGUCUAAGCGUCUGUUUACUCUGUCAUGACUAGAGACUAUGGUCGGUAUAAUAAGACAUUUUCGCUUCUCACAUCAUCUAUUUCUAAAGGUCAAAGAGGGGGUCAGUCGGGUUCUAAUGAGUGCUUCUUGAGGUUCGCGGUACAGAAGAAGGGUCAAACUACCACCAGGGUCAUAAAACUAGUCCUGGAAAUGCCCACAACUCCCACGAAAGCCUUGUCAAAUAUGCGUUCUUGGGUGGCGAAAUGUCUUGCGAUACGACCCUAUAUAUCGAGAGCGUGGAGGAACCUUACAAAGCGAGGCAUUCCAAACGCGACCCUGUGCGUGACUAAAACGGUUUGAUAUGACUAGUAAAUAUAAUAAGAGAAGAAGAAGAAGAAGAAGAUUAGGAACAGAAUAAAACUUAAGCAAAUGCAAAUAUGGAGUCCUAAUGCUGUUUUUUUUAAGUCAUACAGCUGGCACACACACACACACACUUACACACACACACACA